UUCUGCGUGUCAGGAGAGAAAUCUGGUUCAGGACAUGGCCAGAUUCGCCGAAGGCGCAGAGAAUGACAGCGGGCUGCUCGGUUCGCCCGCUUCUUGAACGCUCAGGCAAAAGGACUGGCAACCACCG
rnacentral:ncRNA from 2 species